UCCUGUGUGACCCAGGCCCUGACCCUCCUUGGAGUCUCAGUUUGCUCAUCUGUAAAGUGGGAGUACUGCAGAGUCAGCACUGAGAAUUCAACGUGGCAAUGGCUGUGAAAGGGUUUUGUAUGCUGAGUGUGGCACAAAGUCUGGGUAGCACUAUUGUAGCCCAGUCUGGGCCCCAGAGGGGGGUGAAGCAACACUACUGGAACAGGACUGGAGGGGGCCUUUUUGCUUCCAGCCCCAGGUGUUUUCUCAGGCCCCCAGGGCAGCCCCUCGUGGGAGGGUCUGGCUCGGGUACACUUGUUUGAGCCCCCUGUGGAGCCGACUCAAGGAAUGUUUGGGGUUGGUUUGUUUGUUUUCGGUGACGGGAGGAGUGCAGGCACCUGAAAGUGAACUCAAGGGUCCCGGACUACUGAGGGCCCGAGGGUCAGGGGACACGUCCAGGGGUCCAUCAAGUUCUGCCUCGGAGGUUUGUAUAUGGGGCCCUCAGCUAUGCCAGGUCUCCCAGACAACCUCCAAAGGCACCCCCUUCAGCCUCACCCCGCCCUCCUGCCGCCCCUCAGCCCCACGGACCCCGGCAGGCAUGUUGGGAGGAAUGUGGUCGUGUCUGGGGCUGCCUGACUCGUCCCAUCUCCCCAGACAGGUCCUAACAGCUCCUGCUGGAGGUUCCAACACUCCUCCUAGGAUCAAUGGCUCCCUGCAGGGAAGCGAUGCCUCCCUCUCCCCCCACCCUAACCCAAAGCAGAGGUCAGGGAGCUGCCCUCCCCGCCCCCUGCCACUGGGGCUCAGAAGACAAUGCUGAGACAGACACUCGAGGCUGUGGGCUCCACAAAACUGCCAUGCUGAGGACGCUCAAGAUCCAAUCCAGGAUUCCACUCACUUGUUGUCAUGUCUCCUGCAGUCUGUGACAGUCCCUCGUCGUCGUUCCUUGUCUUUUAAGACCUUGAUGCUUUUGAAGCGUACUGGUCGGUUAUUUUGAAAAUAUCCCUCGGUUUGGGUUUUUCUGAUAUUUUCUCAACAUCAGAUUGAGGUGAUGCAUUUUGGCAAGAAAAUCACAGAAGUGUCGUUGUGGUCUUCUCAGUGCAUCAUCUCAAGCGUCCGUGUGUUGACGUGUCCUAGGGCUGGUGACAUUAACCUUGUUCAUUGGCUAAGGUGGGGUUUACUAGGUUUCUCCACUGUGAUAUUAUUUUUCUUGCUGAAACUAAUAAAUACUUUGAGGAAGAUAC